rnacentral:snoRNA from 14 species
AAUUUUGAGCGUACCGUGGGGGGAUUGGGUUCUUUUUAUACCAAUCUAAUAAUAAACCUGUUUUAAUAUGCUCAAAGAAAAAAUGGUGCCUUUAAUCAAUCGGUAAUCUGUUCUAUUACUGGAUUUUCAUGCAGUCACUACAUUC